AUGUGAAAUCUGCAAGACUAGUGUAAAUUUCACAAACAAAAUGCACUCAAUAACCCUCAUUCAGAAUAGAAUAGAAUAAUGUUUAAAGGUGCUUGGACACGACACCAAAUAUUUGGAAUUUUACUUUACUUUUUUCUGUAUAAAAUGUCAUGUCGGGUAUAUUUUUAAUGAGCAAUUACAAUAUGCGUUACAAUGUUGUGAGUUAUUUGUGUGUUACUGAGCUCAGAGUAUGUGUUAUGUAAACAAAGGCUUGUUAAUGCAAUAGACGACUAUUUUAUAUGAUUUGUUUUACAUGAUUUGUAGAUAUUGAUUAAUUCGGAGAAAGUCGAGCACUCUGUCUGUACUUGCACUAUUGGACAAAGUGGCAUUGCGGACAUGUGAGUGCUGUCUUGUACCUAAUUGCCCACUACAAGAAAAUGGACCUCUCCAUUAUCCCUGCAGAUAUAGCGAAAACAUCAAUGCCACAGACUUGGCAUGUCCCUAGGGGUGAACAAUUACGUGGAGAAAAGGCAGACAAUGUAGUUGUCCAGGGUUAUCACAGAGAGAAUCCUCAGAGGACUACAGAGGGAAUAAAGUCAACUUUGUAUAAAACUAUUCCUGGAGAUGUGAAUAUGGACAUAGAAAAAAUUAACCGAAGAACUUGCAGAAAAAAUAUUUUAUUUACAACAGUUGGCAAAAACUGUCCAAUACAUACAUUUUAAACUUAAUGGAUGACAACUCCUUCCCAACUCUCCCAGUGAUAAAUUCAAUAUCAAACAAUAUCAGGUUUGUAUUUAAUGAGCAACAACUGAAGGUCUAUGAAUCACUCAAAGUAGCAGAGAGGGAAUGUGAAGAAAUUGUGAAGGUCCAAAAAUCCAAAAAGGCACAAAAUAAGGAAGGACAGGAUAACUGCUUCAAAGGCUGGGAAAAUUGCUAAGCAACGAACAGAGGGUGAGAAGCUCGCUGACCGUCUCAAGUCUACGAACAUGUACAGACGGUGGCCAUUAGGCGUGCAUUGCAUGUGAAGAUAUAGCUGCACAUUCCUACAGUGAGAAAAUGGUUAAUGCAGUCAACAUUUUUCCAUGCGGUGUUGUAGUCAGUCCUUAUGCUCACUGGCUUACUGCGACCCCUGACAGAAAGGUGUAUUUACCAGACAGACAACCUUGUCAUGGACUUUUAGAAGUCAAAUGUCCAAAUACUGAUAACUUAGGAAAAGUAAAAUGUCUAGCAAAUAUUGAUGGCAAAUUGCAAUUGAAAAAAGACAACUAUUAUUAUCAAGUACAAAUGCAAAUGGCUGUGACUAGACUUAAGUGGUUUGAUUUUUCAGUAUGGUUAGAAAGUGAUGAACAUUUGGAGACAAUAAAUUUUGAUAAUGAUUUUUGGCAGUGUACUAAAAAAACAAACUUGAUGCAUUUCUCUUCAAUCAUAAUUUGAAUUAAACUGUUAACAUGACUUUUAUUUGUUAAUACAAGUAUGCAACAUAA